CCAUCAACUUCUACUUCAGGGUCAUCUACAGCGAUCACACUGGAAACAUCAACAGGUGUUACAUCAGAACCAC